CCUACGGGAGGCAGCAGUGGGGAAUUUUGGACAAUGGGCGCAAGCCUGAUCCAGCAAUGCCGCGUGAGUGAAGAAGGCCUUCGGGUUGUAAAGCUCUUUUGUCAGGGAAGAAACGGUGAAGGCUAAUAUCCUUUGCUAAUGACGGUACCUGAAGAAUAAGCACCGGCUAACUACGUGCCAGCAGCCGCGGUAAUACGUAGGGUGCAAGCGUUAAUCGGAAUUACUGGGCGUAAAGCGUGCGCAGGCGGUUUUGUAAGUUUGUCGUGAAAUCCCCGGGCUCAACCUGGGAAUGGCGAUGAAGACUGCAAGGCUAGAAUCUGGCAGAGGGGGGUAGAAUUCCACGUGUAGCAGUGAAAUGCGUAGAGAUGUGGAGGAACACCGAUGGCGAAGGCAGCCCCCUGGGUCAAGAUUGACGCUCAUGCACGAAAGCGUGGGGAGCAAACAGGAUUAGAUACCCUGGUAGUCCACGCCCUAAACGAUGUCUACUAGUUGUCGGGUUUUAAUUAACUUGGUAACGCAGCUAACGCGUGAAGUAGACCGCCUGGGGAUACGGUCGCAAAGNUUAAAACCGUUAAGAGUAGUACGGCGNGAGAGAGCGACGACGACGACGACGGAGGAGGAGG
rnacentral:rRNA from 1 species